AUUGAACGCUGGCGGCAGGCCUAACACAUGCAAGUCGAACGAGUGGCGGACGGGUGAGUAAUGUCUGGGAAACUGCCCGAUGGAGGGGGAUAACUCCUGGCAACGGUAGCUAAUCCCGCAUACCCUCGGCUUUGCCCCGAUGGGAUUAGCUUGUAGGUGAGGUAACGGCUCACCUAGGCGACGAUCCCUAGCUGGUCUGAGAGGAUGACCAGCCACACUGGAACUGAGACACGGUCCAGACUCCUACGGGAGGCAGCAGUGGGGAAUAUUGCACAAUGGGCGAAAGCCUGAUGCAGCCAUGCCGCGUGUAUGAAGAAGGCCUUCGGGUUGUAAAGUACUGUCAGCGGGGAGGCGUUACCCGCAGAAGAAGCACCGGCUAACUCCGUGCCAGCAGCCGCGGUAAUAC
rnacentral:rRNA from 1 species